rnacentral:misc_RNA from 1 species
AGCAGCCGCGGUAAUUCCAGCUCCAAUAGCGUAUAUUAAAGUUGUUGCAGUUAAAAAGCUCGUAGUUGAAUUUCGGGAUUGACACAUCGGUCGUGCCUUAAGGGGUAUGAACUGGUGUAGUCAAUUUCUCACCUUCUGGAGAACCGCGAUGCCCUUAAUUGGGUGUCGCGGGGAACCAGGACCUUUACUUUGAAAAAAUUAGAGUGCUUAAAGCAGGCAUUUUGCUUGAAUACAUUAGCAUGGAAUAAUAAAAUAGGACGGCAUGAUUCUAUUUUGUUGGUUUCUAGGAUCACCGUAAUGAUUAAUAGGGAUAGUUGGGGGCAUUAGUAUUCAAUUGUCAGAGGUGAAAUUCUUGGAUUUAUUGAAGACUAACUACUGCGAAAGCAUUUGCCAAGGAUGUUUUCAUUAAUCAAGAACGAAAGUUAGGGGAUCGAAGACGAUCAGAUACCGUCGUAGUCUUAACCAUAAACUAUGCCGACUAGGAAUCAGACGAUGUUAAUUUUUUAAUGACUCGUUUGGC